CCUGCCCCUAGAGGCAUUACAGGUGUGGCUGCUUUGUCACAUGUGCAUCAGAGGGUGGCAGAGAGGAGAGAGGCGAUGUCUAUCCUCAAUGUUCUGACCUAGGAACAUCUUAUUAGUAGCUGAACUUU
ensembl:snoRNA Gm22022 small nucleolar RNA SNORA17